UUCCAUGGAGUGCAAUCAAAAUUCUUGACUGAAAUUUGAAACAGAGGAAUGUUAUGAAUGGUGGUCCCUUUCACUCGCUUAGGCAAUGGAUGCUUCCUGGGAAAGCUAACCCAGUAUUAUUUGAGUAAAACAGAAGAGAAAAUUCACAAAAAGGAAACUUUUUGCCUGAUUCUAUCUCUUCUUUAAUCAAUUUAAAGAUAGAGGCUUUACAAAAUUACAGUAUUUUUGAGUACUGUUCAAGUUCCUAUAAGUAAUGUUUAUUGCAGAUUGGCAAUUGGAAAACCUCAAAAACAGAACACUGAAAUCACCAACACCAUGUCUUUGUUCCUCCAAUUCCAUCAUGGGUCGAGGAAUUGAUGGAAAAGAUAAAGAUGAAAGGACUGUAAUUGAAGAUGAUGAUGUUUUUUUUUCCUUUUUUCCUACCAUGAAUAGACAGAUCUCAAAAAUAGCAGCGAUGAAAUUUAUGAGCAUGCAGAGCUUGAAGAGGCUUCAGUUCAUGAGGUGGGGGAAGAGAAUUGCUAGCUCUGGUUCUGGAGAAAUUUCCCCUCACAGUGUUCACGCCCAUAAAUCACCAUAUAUCUGGAGGCAGCUUUUCUGGAAGUUCAAGUCACAGUUGAAGCAAACUCUGGGAUGGCACAGCACCAAGAUUGUACACUACAAUUACGAUCUUCAGAGCUAUCAUCUCAACUUUGAUGAUGGUUUUCUUGUAUGAAUAUCAUAUCAUAAUAUUUUUCUCGAAAAGAAUUUUCACCAGUUCUGCAAUAAUCAGCUGGUUUAGGUUGAUAUCAGUUGUUUAAUGUGUCAUUUUGAGGCAAGCAUGCAUAAAAAAGUUUCUCUAUGCAAAUUGUGGGUAUUUUGUGGCUUA